rnacentral:rRNA from 1 species
UGCAAGUCGAACGGCAGCACGGGGCAACCUGGUGGCGAGUGGCGAACGGGUGAGUAAUACAUCGGAACGUGCCCAAUCGUGGGGGAUAACGUAGCGAAAGUUACGCUAAUACCGCAUACGAUCUACGGAUGAAAGCGGGGGAUCGCAAGACCUCGCGCGAAUGGAGCGGCCGAUGUCAGAUUAGGUAGUUGGUGGGGUAAAGGCUCACCAAGCCAACGAUCUGUAGCUGGUCUGAGAGGACGACCAGCCACACUGGAACUGAGACACGGUCCAGACUCCUACGGGAGGCAGCAGUGGGGAAUUUUGGACAAUGGGCGCAAGCCUGAUCCAGCCAUUCCGCGUGCAGGAUGAAGGCCUUCGGGUUGUAAACUGCUUUUGUACGGAACGAAACGGUCUGCCCUAAUACGGUGGGCUAAUGACGGUACCGUAAGAAUAAGCACCGGCUAACUACGUGCCAGCAGCCGCGGUAAUACGUAGGGUGCAAGCGUUAAUCGGAAUUACUGGGCGUAAAGCGUGCGCAGGCGGUUAUAUAAGACAGAUGUGAAAUCCCCGGGCUCAACCUGGGAACUGCAUUUGUGACUGUAUGGCUAGAGUACGGCAGAGGGGGAUGGAAUUCCGCGUGUAGCAGUGAA